UGGGGAAUAUUGGGCAAUGGGCGAAAGCCUGACCCAGCAACGCCGCGUGAAGGAAGAAGGCUUUCGGGUUGUAAACUUCUUUUAUCAGGGACGAAGGAUGUGACGGUACCUGAUGAAUAAGCCACGGCUAACUACGUGCCAGCAGCCGCGGUAAUACGUAGGUGGCAAGCGUUGUCCGGAUUUACUGGGUGUAAAGGGCGCGCAGGCGGGAGAGCAAGUCAGAUGUGAAAUCUAUGGGCUUAACCCAUAAACUGCAUUUGAAACUGUUUUUCUUGAGUGAUGGAGAGGCAAGCGGAAUUCCUAGUGUAGCGGUGAAAUGCGUAGAUAUUAGGAGGAACACCAGUGGCGAAGGCGGCUUGCUGGACAUUAACUGACGCUGAGGCGCGAAAGCGUGGGGAGCAAACAGG
rnacentral:rRNA from 1 species